UACAGGGGGGGCAAGCGUUGUCCGGAAUUAUUGGGCGUAAAGAGCUCGUAGGCGGUCUGUCGCGUCGGCUGUGAAAACCUGAGGCUCAACCUCGGGCCUGCAGUCGAUACGGGCAGACUAGAGUUCGGUAGGGGAGACUGGAAUUCCUGGUGUAGCGGUGGAAUGCGCAGAUAUCAGGAGGAACACCGGUGGCGAAGGCGGUUCUCUGGGCCUGUACUGACGCUGAGGAGCGAAAGCGUGGGGAGCGAACAGG
rnacentral:rRNA from 1 species